rnacentral:rRNA from 1 species
GAUGAACGCUGGCGGCGUGCCUAAUACAUGCAAGUCGAGCGAACAGAUAAGGAGCUUGCUCCUUUGACGUUAGCGGCGGACGGGUGAGUAACACGUGGGUAACCUACCUAUAAGACUGGGAUAACUUCGGGAAACCGGAGCUAAUACCGGAUAACAUUUGGAACCGCAUGGUUCUAAAGUGAAAGAUGGUUUUGCUAUCACUUAUAGAUGGACCCGCGCCGUAUUAGCUAGUUGGUAAGGCAACGGCUUACCAAGGCAACGAUACGUAGCCGACCUGAGAGGGUGAUCGGCCACACUGGAACUGAGACACGGUCCAGACUCCUACGGGAGGCAGCAGUAGGGAAUCUUCCGCAAUGGGCGAAAGCCUGACGGAGCAACGCCGCGUGAGUGAUGAAGGGUUUCGGCUCGUAAAACUCUGUUAUUAGGGAAGAACAAACGUGUAAGUAACUGUGCACGUCUUGACGGUACCUAAUCAGAAAGCCACGGCUAACUACGUG